rnacentral:tRNA from 1 species
AUUGCUUUGGCAGAAAAAUUAUGCAUUAGGUUUAGAAUCUAAUUAUAUAGCGUUAAGCUAUAAGUAAUA